rnacentral:ribozyme from 1 species
AAAAAAAAAAAAACAACAAAAAAAAGUCAAAACGACGAAAAAGCGUUGAAUACGAAAGACUCACUGUGUACAUUUUUGUGUGUGUUUGUCU